rnacentral:rRNA from 1 species
GACGAACGCUGGCGGCGUGCUUAACACAUGCAAGUCGAGCGGUAAGGCCCUUUCGGGGUACACGAGCGGCGAACGGGUGAGUAACACGUGGGUGACCUGCCCUCAGCUCUGGGAUAAGCCUGGGAAACCGGGUCUAAUACUGGAUAUGACUCCAUGACGCAUGUUGUGGGGUGGAAAGCCUUGUGCGGCUGAGGAUGGGCCCGCGGCCUAUCAGCUUGUUGGUGGGGUGAGGGCCUACCAAGGCGACGACGGGUAGCCGGCCUGAGAGGGCGACCGGCCACACUGGGACUGAGACACGGCCCAGACUCCUACGGGAGGCAGCAGUGGGGAAUCUUGCGCAAUGGGCGAAAGCCUGACGCAGCGACGCCGCGUGAGGGAUGACGGCCUCGG